rnacentral:misc_RNA from 1 species
AGAUAUAAAGUGAAGGGCGGCCUAGCCCAUCAUGCCAUCCCCAGACAAUCGGAAACAAGGUCACAAUUGGUUGGAGACGAUGGUGGAGCUGCCCUCAGGAGUGGGCGAGGAGGAUGAGCACCACCACACCUGGACUACUGGCAAUUGUCUAAGCUGCGGGGAGCACGUACGGCCAUGCGAAGUGGCUCACACACCAGCCCCGGAGGGGGAGAGAGUGCCCGGUGACGGCGCCAGCAGCUCAGCACAUGAAGACCAGCGUCGUAUAAGCGAAGAUGUGGUUUCAUCACGAAGUAUUAAUCCAUUUCAAGAAGAUCCAGUGGAAACAGAAGGCAUGCUAAGGGCACCUCGAUACUACAGAGGAAUAUAUUGUCCAUCAAUCACAAAUAGUUUUAAGAAUAAGGCAGUAGAGUUAUCAUACCAAAGAUAUUCAAGGAGGCAGCGACAAAAAUCACUCAUAAUGGUGAACGUUGUUGACUUAGCACUUAAGAUAUGUCUAGCUGUUAUUUAUACAGUCACAAACAGAGACGUAGCAGCACCAAAUCCUUAUCAAAUAGCGUGGACGGUCGCGUUCGCGUGGCUCAACGUGGGAGUGUGUCUGCUCGGCUGGUGGCGAUGUUUCGCCAACAACUACCUGCACUGGGCCGCGGCGGCUACCUGGAUACUACUGAUCGCUCAAGGUCUCAGCGGUCAAGGUAUAGGCUUCCAAGAAUCACAAAACCAAGUAUGGUACAUGCUGUUCAUAGUGUUCGUACCAUACGCCAUGUUACCGCUGUCUCUGAUCUGGUGCAUCAUCAUCGGAACCCUGACCUUCCUCGCUCACGUGCUCGCCACAGCUGUAGUUAUUAAAGAGAGCAUGGAAGACACGAAGAGGGCUGUCAACUGUAAUAUUAAUUCCUACGCGUGCAGUCUUCGUCUACUCAUAGGUAACGCGAUGUUGUACGUAGCAGUAAACUUUGCGGGCAUGUAUGCCAAGUCUCUGGCCGAUUGGGGACAGAGGAAGGCCUUCUUGGAGACGAGACGGUCGAUGGUGACGCGUGAGAGGACUAAGAGAGAGAGUGAUCGACAGUGGAAGUUGUUUCAGAGCGUGAUACCAGACUUCUUAGCGAAAGAAAUCUAUGGACACGUGAACAAAGUAAAGGGGGAGUUCCAAGAGCAGCAAUUUAAUAACUUGUACAUACAACAGCAUCACGACGUGUCCAUACUAUACGCUGACAUCAAGGGCUUCACUGAACUGUCAAGCAAAUGCAGUGCACAGGAGUUAGUGAAGCUAUUAAAUGAAUUGUUCGCUCGCUUCGACAGGUUGGCAUCGGAAAAUCACUGCCUACGCAUAAAGUUGCUGGGUGACUGCUACUUCUGCGUGAGCGGGCUGCCGGAGCGGCGCGAGGACCACGCUCACUGCUGCGUGAACAUGGGCCUCCACAUGAUACGUGCUAUACGCGAUGUGCGCUAUAAUGCACAGGUGGACCUAGACAUGCGCAUCGGUAUACACAGCGGGAAGGUGCUCUGCGGAGUCCUGGGGCUGCUCAAAUGGCAGUUUGAUUUGUGGUCACACGAUGUUACUCUCGCUAAUCGUAUGGAAAGUGGCGGAUUACCUGGACGCAUGCACAUAUCAUCAGCUACACUAGAAUGUUUGAACGGUGCGUUUGAGGUAGAGCCGGGAGAUGGUGGGUCCCGUGACCCAUACCUCAGGGAACACAAUCCCGUCACCUACCUCAUUAAGAGCACGGAGCAGCCGAGGCGGACAAGACAUCGGUCUAGAACUAGUGUCCCACAAGCGUCUGCACAAAACUCGGACGCAACACCCCGCCGGCCUAGCAGCACCAUCGAAGAUGAAAUGACAGCCGACUGGACGCCUGAGAUGCCCUUCCAAAACUACUACUCAAGCGGGGCCGCCAGCGUGGCUCGAGGGUUUAACCUAAAUGGUGACAACUCUAAACGAGAUCCGGAAAUUGACGACGUGCCCCCAGUCUCCGAUGUCGAGGAGGACGACAUAAUAAACCACUCGAUAGAAGUGAAGUCGAACCGUCGCAUGCGCGUGAGCAACAUGCACGGCUGGUCGCUGCGGUUCCGCAGACCCUCGCUGGAGGAGAGGUUCGGGGAGCUGGAUGAGAGGACCUUCAAGUCUAACGUCAUGUGCUGUUUGGUGCUGUGGCUGUUCAUUGUUGCUGUGCAGAGCUUGGUGCAUUACAAUUGCCAGUACCUAGUGAUGAUUCUGCUUCUGAUGACGAUCCCCUUCACGUUGUCCUUCAUCCUGGUGAUGAUAGAGGAGUUCCCGGGGAUCCUGCCGCGCCUCACCAAGAUCUCUGCUUACCUCAGCUCAACAAGGACUAUUAGGAAUGUUCAUAUAUGCUGCUUUAUCACAGCUAUGUCUAUAUCCAGCACGAUAAAACUGUACGUGUGUCCGCCAUCUUUUAUCCCUCAAACGCCGAACGGCACUGUUGCUCCCAACGUAACGUGUAACUACACCACGCAAGAACUUACUGAUGAAUGGAAUGAUCCAGACGAAUGCUAUCGUCCGGAGUACGUGGUGUUCACGUGGGUGCUGUGCCUGGUGGCGCUCACGUCCGUGCUCAAGCUGUACUACUUGAUCAAGACCCUGUUGGCAACCGUCAACGUGGUCAUGUACACCAUCCUAUUGGUGCACUUCUACAACUAUAGGAAUUACAAUAGCAAUACAAAUACAACACUACCAGCAUACGUACAAAUGCUGAUCCUGAUGGCAGUGUUCCUAGUAGUAGUCAUAUAUCACGGGAGGCUGGUCGAAGUGACAUCCAGACUGGACUUCAUCUGGAAGCUGCAAGCAGAGACAGAUUUAGACGAGAUGGAGGACACGCAGAAGACGAACAGACAUCUCCUCAAGCAUAUACUGCCUGAUCAUGUGGUUGUACAUUUCCUGAGCAGAGAUUGGUGUCCUGAUGAGCUGUACUCUCAAUGGCGCGACGAGGUGGGCGUGAUGUUCGCCGGGAUCCCGAACUUCGACGAGUUCUACUCGGAGGAGAAAGCCGUGGAGUGCAUGCGCGUGCUCAACGAGAUCAUUUUCGACUUUGACAAGCUACUGAUGCAGCAGCGGUUCAAAAGCAUCGAGAAGAUUAAAACGAUAGCAGCCACUUACAUGGCAGCUUCAGGACUCAAUCCUAAUCACAACAAGACAGGUGAGGAUAACUGUGAACAUUUGUGUGCGCUGGUCGACUAUGCCUUUGCGUUAAGAGAAGCCCUAGAAGACAUCAGCAAACACAGCUUCUAUAAAUUCCGCCUGAGAGCAUUAGCUGUGGUCCCCUGGUGGGCGGAGUGAUCGGCGCUCGCAAGCCGGUGUACGACAUCUGGGGCAACACCGUCAACGAAGCUUCACGCAUGGAGACCACGGGGGCCAUGGACAAGAUACAAGUCACUAAAUACACUAAGCAGCUAUUAGAAUGCCGCGGCUACACUCUAGAACGUCGCGGUCCAGUGGAAGUGAAAGGCAAGGGUCGCAUGGAGACGUGGUGGGUAACCAGAGCCCGGGGUGCCGACCCCGCGCGCCCCG